UGCUAAUUGGCUCUCUCCUGUCCUGGUUCCAAAUGUCGAUUAGCUAUUGGUUGUGAGAGGCAUGGAAAUUUCUCUGGGUAACAUAUAAAUGUAUCUUGUGCUGCAGGUUGGUGUGGAGAUCCUAUUGGCUGCCUGUCAAAAGGGCUCGUACUUCUGCUACAGUGCUACUGCAUAGUGGCCGAGCAGGUGCUCUGCACCUUCUAGAGCAACUCCUAGGUGCAAACUAAUGGUUGGUGUGGAGGUCCCAUUUGUUGCAUGGUAAAAGGGCCUGCACUACUGGCUACGGUGCUACUGCAUAGUGUCCGAGCAGGUGCUCCGCACCUUCUACGACAAUUCCUCGGAUGCAAACUACUCCCUCCAUAUCAAAUUGUGAGAUGGUAAGGAAGGAUCGCGCGAGGAUUGAGGUUGUGGGUUCGAAACUCACGCACCGCUCACGCGUAUAUUUCGUGUGAAAAAAUAGUGUGACUUGUGUGUGGGACUAAAGCUUGUUUUUCCACCGGUGUAUAUUCUUGUAUAACAUUUGCAUGUUUUCGGAAAAUUUGAAGGAUUUGUUUUUUUCACUAAAUCAAAUGAUUUUUAGCCACUUAAUUGCUAUUUAAGGUUAGUUAAAAUUUCGGGGUGUUACAGAAAUGACAAUAACUCAUUGCCCUGUCUGCAGUAAUGCAUGCAUCAAAUUUUACGUACCUAUUGCUCCUCUCCAGGGAUUUCAGUUUCUGACUAUCGAUCUCAUUUCUUGUCUCUGCCAACCCAAUGCCCUAUGGCUCUCGAAGGAGAGCUUGGAGCUAUGGCCGUAGAGCACACCAUUAUUUGUGUCAAAUGUGCGGUACUAGUACUAAAAAAAGGCCCUGUCCGGUCACUGAGUUGAAGUUUCUUUAAUUCCUCCGUCUAUGUUGUCGUUGUCAUAUUCGUUGCGUGAACCCUGCACUGCUCCUAGGCUUUUCGUCCUGUUGAUGGCUCAUGCCAAGUUGUCAUUUUUUUAAGCCCUGUUCAUGGUCCACCAGCUUCGUCCUUACAGGAUAGUGAAAUGUGUGGAAGCUGCAGCUUGGUCCUUGGGACAAAGACCUGCUUAAAAGCACUCCAUUCGGUGUAGCACGGUGAUCACACCUGCAUCGCAUGGUCCUUGAUUCAGAACACAAAUUAAACGCCACAGAGACCAUACUGCACGCAACUGGCCAAGUGUGCAAAAUACGGCCGCCGUGUGAUUCAGGCAACCUGUCCAAAUUAUCAUGUACUUGAUCCCGUUAGAUCAUGUGCCUAGCUGAGACUUGAGUGGUGAGUUUUAUCCGUACAGUCGACAACUCUCCCCAAUUGGCCAAUUGUCACGUGGUUGAGCCCAUUAGGACAUGUGCCUGAGACUUGAGCGGCUAGCUAGCUUUUAUCCACAUCCUUGAAGGCGAUCUUGCAACAGGAUCCUUCUACGAAUGCUGACAGGAAACAAGCCAAACAGAGAUACAAAAUAUUUUUUGGCGCAAAACCUUUUAGUUCUUGUUAGUAUUAGCAAUCGGGAUUAAAGAUAUGGCUUUAAUCUCGGUGACAGACCUGGGACUAAAGGUCCCGGUCUUUAGUCCCGAAUAAUUAGUUCGGUUGGGAAAAUCAAGAUCUAUUAGGUUUUUCAACUGGGAUUAAUGCUCGUUUCUCUACCAAUAAUAGCGAGUCUCAAAACAUUAUCAUUAUGUUGUUGUCUAGGUAAUGCCACGACCAUUCCGUCUGUCAAUAUAAACCAGGCUGGUUUCCUGGAAACUUUGAUCCCUCGCCCGAGCGUCCACCAUCAGGAGGGAACUGUGCAAAACAAGAAUGGCCGCCUACCACCCUUAUCGCCCCAUGCUCUGCACUGUUCCUAAUACACCAUUCUUGUUAUCGGC